UACGUAGGGUGCAAGCGUUAAUCGGAAUUACUGGCGUAAAGCGUGCGCAGGCGGCUUUGCAAGACAGAUGUGAAAUCCCCGGGCUUAACCUGGGAACUGCAUUUGUGACUGCAUGGCUGGAGUGCGGCAGAGGGGGAUGGAAUUCCGCGUGUAGCAGUGAAAUGCGUAGAUAUGCGGAGGAACACCGAUGGCGAAGGCAAUCCCCUGGGCCUGCACUGGACGCUCAUGCACGAAAGCGUGGGGAGCAAACAGG
rnacentral:rRNA from 1 species